rnacentral:RNase_P_RNA from 1 species
GCAAUGUUGGUAAGGGUGAAACGGCGGUGUAAGAGACCACCAGUAAUUGCAGCAAUGCAGUUAGCUAUGUAAACCCCACCUGAAGCAAGACCAAGAAGAUAGUGCGUUGCUCGCGCUCAAGCUAUCGGGUAGGUCGCUCGAAUCUGUAAGUAAUUGCAGAUCUAGAUGGAUGGUGAUCAGUUCGCAAGAACUACAGGAUCCGGCUUAUAGGGCGACUCUUCUU